rnacentral:rRNA from 1 species
UACGAAGGGGGCUAGCGUUGUUCGGAAUUACUGGGCGUAAAGCGCGCGCAGGCGGUUUCUCAAGUCAGUGGUGAAAGCCCGGAGCUCAACUCCGGAACUGCCAUUGAAACUGUGAAACUUGAGGACGAGAGAGGUGAGUGGAAUUCCCAGUGUAGAGGUGAAAUUCGUAGAUAUUGGGAAGAACACCGGUGGCGAAGGCGGCUCACUGGACCAUAACUGACGCUGAGGCGCGAAAGCUAGGGGAGCAAACAGG